rnacentral:rRNA from 1 species
GAUGAACGCUGGCGGCGUGCCUAAUACAUGCAAGUCGAGCGAACAGACGAGGAGCUUGCUUCUCUGAUGUUAGCGGCGGACGGGUGAGUAACACGUGGAUAACCUACCUAUAAGACUGGGAUAACUUCGGGAAACCGGAGCUAAUACCGGAUAAUAUUUUGAACCGCAUGGUUCAAUAGUGAAAGACGGUUUUGCUGUCACUUAUAGAUGGAUCCGCGCCGCAUUAGCUAGUUGGUAAGGUAACGGCUUACCAAGGCGACGAUGCGUAGCCGACCUGAGAGGGUGGUCGGCCACACUGGAACUGAGACACGGUCCAGACUCCUACGGGAGGCAGCAGUAGGGAAUCUUCCGCAAUGGGCGAAAGCCUGACGGAGCAACGCCGCGUGAGUGAUGAAGGUCUUCGGAUCGUAAAACUCUGUUAUUAGGGAAGAACAAAUGUGUAAGUAACUGUGCACGUCUUGACGGUACCUAAUCAGAAAGCCACGGCUAACUACGUG